AAGGAUGAGAAGCUUCGACCAAGGUUCGAUUCGAGCGCAGCGAGAAAGCGUUGCCGCAGGCAACGACCCGAAGGGCGAAGCGCGCAGCGCUGAGUCAUCCUUCCCCCACCACCA
rnacentral:sRNA from 5 species